CAACACAAGGCUAACACCAAUCAAAAAGAAUCAACAUCUGGUGCAGGAAACUGAGAUGGAGCUAGGAUAUUCCAGGAUGGAAGAUGUCUAGCAUUAAUUUGCAACUUUGGGACAACAUCAGUAAAAUAUUGCUAUAUAAGUGACAUUAUGACAAUCCAGCAAUUGUGACAGACAGAGACGCUGUUCACCCACCAUGCUCUGCUACAUGGGAAGGCCAGAGAUAGUGUACGUGUCAGAGCUGCUAUGGGAAAGCAGGAUUCUGCUCACUUUUGGGGCCUCUUUUUCUCAUGGGAAGAAAAAAAGAGUGCGUUUUAGAGUCAUGUAGUUGCAUAGAAUCUGUAUGUUUGCAUGAGAGGUUGUUAUGCUUUGUGGGCAAGCUGGCCAUUAUUAUCCUCGGUUCCUGGACGAGUCUGAGGCAGGUGGAGAAAGCAGAGAGGGGAAAGAAAGAAAACCAGACUGCCUCGGCCUCUUCUCUUUCAUUGUUGUCUCUUUUGGGGACAAAAAGGCGGCUGAUGAAGGGGCUGCUGGAUGUAGGCUCUCCUCUUUUCACCACUUAGGCCUGGCUGCCGUAUCAGGGACGGCUGUCUCCCUGGCAAUGGCUAAACAAACCCAGCUCUUUAAGACACUCCUCAUAGGGAUUCCUGGACGAUCUAAAGACCUUUGAUCAUUUUAGUUGCCCUCCUCUGGACACCUUCCAGCUUGUCAGUAUAUCUCUUAAGCUACGAGGCCCAGAAUUGGACACAAUAUUCCAGGUGAGAUACUGGUCAAAUGACAUUUUAGAAAAGCCUUAAAAACAUGGCUAUGUGCUCAGGCUUUUAACGAAUAAACAACAAAGAAGACCCAGACUGAUGUAUGGAUAAAGCAUGAGGAUAUUGGAUGAACGGAUUUUAACCAUAUGUUUUAUAUUUUAUACUGUAUUCAAUUGUUUGUAAUAGAUUUUAUAUGCUGUUUGAUUUUAAUGAUGUGUCGGCAUCGAAUUGUUGCCAGUUGUACGCCGCCCUGAGUCCCUUCGGGUGAGAAGGGCGAGACAGAAAUAUUGGAAAUAAAUAAAUAAAUAAAAUUUAGUAUAAUGCCAAA